GGUCUCUUAGCCUGUAAGGCUUGUGCAUGAUGUCUCUGAGAGCAAUUUCCAGCAGAGUGAAGCCUUAUCACAGAUUCACCUAAAAGGUGAAGUGGGUGAAUAUCAGACAGCUCAUUAUAGAGACAUGCAAGCUGCAUUCCCAAAGUAGGAUGACAGAACAAGUCAUGGUGGAUAAGAGUCAUGGAUGUUAAAGGAGACAUUAAUCAGGCUGUUGUGAAAGAUCUGAUACCAGCUUUGGUCAAAGGGGUCGAGUGUCAUCCUGAGAGUGCUCCUCUUUGGGACAGGAAACCGACGGAGCGAAGCCCUGAGAACAUGCCGCGACACUUCAUAUUCAAUCCGCAGCCCUAUAAAGAGAUGAAAAAUGAGCCUUGUCCAAAGCUCUUACCUCAGCACCCAGUGGCAAAAAUAAAAUGUGAGCUUGGGACCAGGUCUCUUUGAAGCUGAUUUUUUCUAUUUUUUUUCUAAACUCUCUAACAGGCCUCUGGUGGUUACAGGUAUUGAUCGUCAGAAAGUAAUCUGUUCAGGUUUGGGGGCAUGCCAGACCGAAUCCUGGAGUACGUUCCUUCCUCUCCAAGGACAUGUUGAGCUUUUUAUACUGUCCACACUGGCAUGCUUGUCAGCUGUCUGGCUUCUUUGUCUUUACUGCUUUCCCUGUUUGUGGAAAGCAUAUUAUUAAACCUCCCUUAUACAAAUAUUGUACAUUACUCCUCUAGAAUUUUCUGCCAGUGCUGAAGGUUUUUUACCCCAAUUUUUAACCCUCAUUUUUCUUCUAUAAUCAUUAUUUGAUUCCCUCUGGCUGCCUGCUACUUAUUUGUAGUAGUACCAUUCAUCCAUUGAGACUUUUCCAUCUGUCACACAGUUUUGCUUUCUCUCCCCAGAAGCUUUCUUCUCCUACUGUGCCAUGCUUGAUUUUUUGGGUUUAGUUGCAUGUUUGUUUGCUCUUUUUAGUAUUUUAAAAAAAUGCUUCAGUAUUUAGAACAAAUACAAGAAGAAGAGAAAACUCCCAACAUAGCAAAGAGAAGCUCAAAUCCAGCACUGCACAUAGAAACAGGAUGAGGAGAGAGAUUCCUGGUGAAUUAAGGAAUCAACACGUAUAGCCAGGGCAGAACUAGUGGCCAGACCUUGCUCUCUAUGAAUUGUUUUCAUUGCCUUCCAAAUCCUUCCAGUUUUGUGCUAGAUAAAUAGGUGAUGUCAGGAAAUGUUGCAUUCCCUCUGCUGUACUGACUCCCUUUGGUGUAUUGAUUACAAAGAUGAUCUGAGGAAAACCAAACAUACUGAGGUACAAUACUGUGAUUAUGUAAAGCAAAUAAUGUUUUAAAGUGUCAGGCAGUCCCUUACCUAAACAAGAUUGUGGUCAUAUCCUACAUUUAAAAUUAAAUGAGCAAUUUUUGUUUGCAGAGGGUAGAUAUUAAAGAAAUGCAGCACUUGUUAGUGUUUCCCAGGUGAAAUGCAGCAAGGUCUAAUGCCAGCAGCAUAACCCCUCAGAAUCAGUGUUUUUUUCUCUGUGUAUCUUCAACCCCUAUUAAAGCAAAUUUUAGUUUUUGAUGUGAGCAAGAAUAGGAAAUUUCACAGCAGCUCUACAGAUCACUUGCGAUUGAAUCAAAUCUCAAAUCUUCAGUCUUGGAGAACUCACAAAAUUACCUGCUUCUGAUAAUACAUUUUGAAUAUAUCUUUAUUAUUUUCUCUUCUAUUCCUCAUAUGCAUUUCAUUGUAUCCACUUAUGUUCUUGUUUCAAAAGUUCCUGCAAGUUUAUCUAUAUUAUUAGGAUUAGUAAAAAGUAUGUGUUGUAUUUUCAAAAAAUCUUUUUUUUCAGUAGAAAUGCUUUCAUUGCUUAUAAAAUUGCUUCUCUGGCUGUAUAAAAAGUGCUGGUAGUCUUCAAGCAAACACAAAAGCUGUGUGUGUGUCCUUGUUUGAAUGACAAUCUCCAGAAAGUUUCCUUUGCUACCAGCUACUUCACUGCACUCUUCUGUGAAUGAAGUGGGUGGAAAAAUAUUGGACCCUUACAUAUAUACUUGUAUGGGAAAAUGACUCAAAAUAUAGGUAUUUUACAAAAAUCCUAUUUAUUAAGUGAUGUCAUGUGAAAGUAAGGGUCAUUCAGACCCAGCUUUUAUUUUACCUGAACCCUAAGGUGCUUUGUGAAGGAAAAUAAAUGGUUGCUUUUCUGGAAUAAAUUAUGAAAAUAAAAUUUAAGAAAAUGAGAAGGCAAAAGGGGAAGGAAUGUGAGACAAUGCAGUCCCUCCUGAGCACUGAAAACUUUUCUGAGUUUCUUCUCAAGAAUAAAUGAUUAAAAAAUAAUAAGGGUGAAAGUGUUUUUUUGCAUUUUUGUGUGUAAUCACAAAUUUGAUGGUCCCACUGUACAAUCAAUGUCAACCUAUAUCAUUCAAAUCUACCCUGCCUGCUCUGUAAGACCUUCAAUGGGUGAAAUGUCACUGUUGCACAGGGAAGCUAGUCCAGUGCUUUAUUAAAAUUAUUUUUUGUUUCAGAAUCUUAGGUCUAUUCCUUUUUAUUUUUUUCUUUUUUUUUUUAACCCAGAACAGAUUAAGCAAAUAAAUAAUUAUCUUCUACACUCUAGUCAUUGUUCAAAUGCCUCCUUCCAUUUUCUUUGGUCUAAGGUUAAACAGGUGCAGUUCCAUUGGGCUUUCCUCACAGGCCUGAUGAUUUAACUCCAGCUAACCCACUUCUUUCCAACUUAAGAGCUCAAAGGUACAUGCAGACCUUCAGGUGACACUUCCUGGUCUGCAGAGAUAGAUCAUUUCAUAUGCCUUGCAGUUGUUUGUAGGUUUUUUUCAUGAAGCCUCAUCACAGUCUUUGACUCUUUUUUGAGGUUAUUCUUAAUUUUCUAUUAAUAUGUAUGUGUAUACUGCAAGAUGAUGUAAAAUUGGGUGGCAAUAUGAAGAAAGAAGUAGGGCAGGGACUUUGCAGCCAUGAAACCCAAAACCAACCCAGUUAGUGGAUGUGGUAAACCAAACAAAUGGCCUGCAUGGUCUUCUGAGUUAGUUUUUGGUUGUUUUGUGAGGAGCAGUGAGUUGGAUUCUAUGAUCCUUCCAAGUCAAGAUAUUCCAUUCUGUUCUGUUGACACAUGAGGGAAUGCUAACACCAGUGGGAAUCUUUACAUGUGUAGGAACACAUUCUCAUGGCCUCACAGAGUCAGGAGCUUGAUGAGACAGGAUUGCUAUUGGCCCUGUUCUGAAUGUUUUAUUCCCAUAUGUGUAAACUUAAGGAAAUGGAGAGGAAAAAGAAGUAGAGAGAGAUUGUGGCUUAGCCUUGGGAAUCUGUAGCACAGGGUGAAGGAAUUUCACUAUGCACUGGGCUUCUAUAGUCUUGGCAAAAAUGAAAAAAAAAAAGUUAAUACUGCACCCAAAUAGCUCAACAAUUUUUAUUUUUAUUUUUUAAUGCAAAAUUUAACAAUACUAAAUCUACACUAAUGUUGAAAAAGUAACUCGAGUAAUAAAAGUAGUCUUCAGGGAGAAGUCUGGACACAAGAAGGUCUAUAUAUAUCUUCAAGUGUGUAAUCAAGUAGGCUGUUUUUCAUGUGAGGCAGUUAUUUCUAUGUUACUUUUGUUCAGUGGGAUUGUGUAAAAUCCUUUAUGUACAGCACUAAUCUGAAAAUCUAGAUCUGUC